CAACUGGCCCCAAUCCUCUGGUUUCCAUCACUUGCCUUAAAGAAGAAGAGAAUGAGAUGGUUUCCGCACCGGAAAGAUGCUCUGUUGCAUUUCAGCUUUGGGGAUGGGGGUCUUGCUGAAUGCAAGCAGAGAGUAAUAAUAAUUGAGCGCCUACUCUGUGCCAGACACUGUUCCAAGCACUUUACAUAAAAAAUCCAUUUAAUGCGCCAACCACAACUGCAUUUCCUUUGGGUCACAAAUAACUGAAUAAACUGGCAGAAAGUCCACUUCAGGCGCCGUUUAAGUCACUUGAUUUUCCUUUGGGGACUCUUAGUAAGAGACAGGAAGUGCCACCCCCCCCCCCCGGGGGGCCAGAGACCGCUGUAUAUUUGGCGACCAGCAAAAAGGGCGAAUGACCGAAUGAGGGCGGGAGGAAGGUGUGAAUGGGCUCUGCUAGCCCAGAAACUCAGCUGCAGAGACAACUUUUCUCUUGUCGGUGAUCGUGGGCGACGGAGAGGGGGCGGCGGCCUUCCUAACCUCGAGCUUGUCCCAUUAACCCUUUAUGAGCUUUCCCCCUGGUCCGCCACUGCCACAUCUAAGGGCAGCGCGCGCGCGCGUGUCUGUGUGUGUGUGUGUGCGUGUGUGUGGAGUUGGCGAUCGAGGGUCACGCGCAGGUGGCUCUGCGGCGGUGGUGGCGGCGGUCGCAGAGGCGACACCGUUGGAGGCAGAGGCAGAGGGCCGGCCGGACCACCAUCCCUGCGGGCGGGAUCUCAGCCACCAAUGACCUUCCUCCAGCGCGUCUCAUGUCCUUCUGCUCCACCUCGGCACAGCAGCUCGGCAAGCCCCAGGGUCCAUCCCUCUGGUGACAGUGAUUUCACUUCAGAAGGCCAGCAUGGAUCUUUUGAGGAUGGGCCUUUGGCCAAAGCUCACUUGUCUGGUUUAGACCUCCUAGAACCUCCCAACUCAUCCUGCUCAAACCACGUGCUGAAAGGUGAGGCUGGCACAUUCCACCCUGGGGUGGCUGUCAACUCCUUUCUCCCUCUGUCAAAACAUUUGAAUUGUAGGAGGGGUUGUGGAUCAUGGGAUCAUAGCACCCUGCAAUUUGAGUGCUCUUAA
rnacentral:lncRNA from 1 species